rnacentral:lncRNA from 1 species
CACAGUAUAGAGCCAAUCUCAUUAAAAUAUAUAUUCUCUUUGUUAUUUUCAUCAUUCACAUUAGUUGUAAACUCUUUAGUAUGGCAGCAAUUAAGAGAUUAUAUAUUUAGAUAAGACAGUUUCUUUUUUUUCUGUAUUCUGACUUGAUCUCCACUUAACAUUGAAUUUCAGCUUCAAUAUAUGAACUGAUGUGUGAGAAGGAGUAAUGAGUCCAUGGGUCACUGUAGUCAGGAAUGUUGUUACAUAUGUGAAUUGUUAUCUGUCCUCAAUUAUAGCACUUGUUUUUCUUUCUAUAUUUUUAGAUUUAUCUGAAAGGAAAGAUCGUGAACAUACUCUAAUGGAAAGACCAUGCAUAUACAUAUAUAACAAAGCACUAUAUCUAGAAUUAUCGAAGAAAGUUAUUUCUCUUAGAUGUACUAAUUAGAUUUAUUUAACUGUUAAGAGUAAGUUCCCCCACUAAUGAAAACAAAGCAAUAUGGAUAAAACAUCCAUCUUCAGGAAAUAAUACAGUUAAUGAAGGGAGUAGGAUCAAAUAGAAUUAGGGAAAACAAUUUUUACCUGUUUUUAAAACUGUAUCUGUAAAACUAAUUCAAAGUCAGUCUUAUCCAAUUAUUGAAUAUUCCCUAGUCUGAAACUCAUCAUUUAUGGUACUUCUAAAUUGUAGAAAAACUGACAUGAUGUUUCCUAAACUAAUAUAAAUAGGGCAAAUAUAGAUGAGAGUGAACAAAGACUGUAAGAUACUUGCUCUGGUUCACAUAAAGAGUCCAUGCAAAACUAACCCUGGGAAUGUAUUAUUAGUGUCUGUCUCUUAGAACAUGCUUACAUGAUUGAGAACAAUAAAAUAUAUUUUAUGAUUAAAUUUUCACACC